UUCUUUAUGUAUUUCUUUCCACAGC
rnacentral:piRNA from 1 species